rnacentral:lncRNA from 1 species
GCUUUUGCUAGUUGAGAAGGGAAAUGUGAUAAAGUGGAAACUCAAUUUCUGAGCUGCCCAGGUCACUUGAAAAGAUUGUAGAAACCUCCAGCACUCUGUGGCUUGUGGACACUUUAUUUUCAGAACUAGAAAAAUGGAGUAUGUCUCAUGCUGCCUUGCUCUGACCUUCAGCAUCCUCCUACUUUUCCUUUAUGAGAUAUUGUAACUACUCUGGCUGUGUGGACCAUCCUGGACAUUCCCUUCAUCAACUGAUUAAAACGUGAAUUGCAUCUUC